CCUACGGGAGGCAGCAGUAGGGAAUCUUCCACAAUGGGCGAAAGCCUGAUGGAGCAACGCCGCGUGGGUGAAGAAGGUCUUCGGAUCGUAAAACCCUGUUGUUAGAGAAGAAAGUGCGUGAGAGUAACUGUUCACGUUUCGACGGUAUCUAACCAGAAAGCGACGGCUAACUACGUGCCAGCAGCCGCGGUAAUACGUAGGUGGCAAGCGUUAUCCGGAUUUAUUGGGCGUAAGGGGAACGCAGGCGGUCUUUUAAGUCUGAUGUGAAAGCCUUCGGCUUAACCGGAGUAGUGCAUUGGAAACUGGGAGACUGGAGUGCAGAAGAGGAGAGUGGAACUCCAUGUGUAGCGGUGAAAUGCGUAGAUAUAUGGAAGAACACCAGUGGCGAAAGCGGCUCUCUGGUCUGUAACUGACGCUGAGGUUCGAAAGCGUGGGUAGCAAACAGGAUUAGAUACCCCAGUAGUC
rnacentral:rRNA from 1 species